UCGGGAAUUUUGGGCAAUGGGCGAAAGCCCGACCCAGCAACGCCGCGUGAAGGAUGAAGUAUUUCGGUAUGUAAACUUCGAAAGAAUAGGAAGAAUAAAUGACGGUACUAUUUAUAAGGUCCGGCUAACUACGUGCCAGCAGCCGCGGUAAUACGUAGGGACCAAGCGUUGUUCGGAUUUACUGGGCGUAAAGGGCGCGUAGGCGGCAAUUCAAGUCAUCUGUGAAAUCUCCGGGCUUAACUCGGAACGGUCAGAUGAUACUGCUUUGCUAGAGUGCAGAAGGGGCAAUCGGAAUUCUUGGUGUAGCGGUGAAAUGCGUAGAUAUCAAGAGGAACACCUGAGGUGAAGACGGGUUGCUGGGCUGACACUGACGCUGAGGCGCGAAAGCCAGGGGAGCAAACGGGAUUAGGAUACCCUAGUAGUCCCUGAGCGGGCUGGCAAGGCGCAU
rnacentral:rRNA from 1 species